rnacentral:rRNA from 1 species
UACGGAGGGUGCGAGCGUUAAUCGGAAUUACUGGGCGUAAAGCGCGCGUAUGCGGUUUUAUAAGUCGGAUGUGAAAUCCCCGAGCUUAACUUGGGAACUGCAUUCGAUACUGUCUAACUAGAGUAUGGUAGAGGAAAGUGGAAUUCCCGGUGUAGCGGUGAAAUGCGUAGAUAUCGGGAGGAACAUCAGUGGCGAAGGCGGCUUUCUGGACCAAUACUGACGCUGAGGCGCGAAAGCGUGGGUAGCAAACAGG